rnacentral:rRNA from 1 species
GGGUUGUGAGGUUAAGCGACUAAGCGUACACGGUGGAUGCCCUGGCAGUCAGAGGCGAUGAAGGNNUCGUCACACUAUCAUUAACUGAAUCCAUAGGUUAAUGAGGCGAACCGGGGGAACUGAAACAUCUAAGUACCCCGAGGAAAAGAAAUCAACCGAGAUUCCCCCAGUAGCGGCGAGCGAACGGGGAGGAGCCCAGAGCCUGAAUCAGCAUGUGUGUUAGUGGAAGCGUCUGGAAAGGCGCGCGAUACAGGGUGACAGCCCCGUACACAAAAGCGCAUGUGCUGUGAGCUCGAUGAGUAGGGCGGGACACGUGGUAUCCUGUCUGAAUAUGGGGGGACCAUCCUCCAAGGCUAAAUACUCCUGACUGACCGAUAGUGAACCAGUACCGUGAGGGAAAGGCGAAAAGAACCCCGGCGAGGGGAGUGAAAAAGAACCUGAAACCGUGUACGUACAAGCAGUGGGAGCNNGUGACUGCGUACCUUUUGUAUAAUGGGUCAGCGACUUAUAUUCUGUAGCAAGGUUAACCGAAUAGGGGAGCCGGAGGGAAACCGAGUCUUAAUUGGGCGUUAAGUUGCAGGGUAUAGACCCGAAACCCGGUGAUCUAGCCAUGGGCAGGUUGAAGGUUGGGUAACACUAACUGGAGGACCGAACCGACUAAUGUUGAAAAAUUAGCGGAUGACCUGUGGCUGGGGGUGAAAGGCCAAUCAAACCGGGAGAUAGCUGGUUCUCCCCGAAAGCUAUUUAGGUAGCGCCUCGUGAAUUCAUCUCCGGGGGUAGAGCACUGUUUCGGCUAGGGGGCCAUCCCGGCUUACCAACCCGAUGCAAACUGCGAAUACCGGAGAAUGUUAUCACGGGAGACACACGGCGGGUGCUAACGUCCGUCGUGAAGAGGGAAACAACCCAGACCGCCAGCUAAGGUCCCAAAGUCAUGGUUAAGUGGGAAACGAUGUGGGAAGGCCCAGACAGCCAGGAUGUUGGCUUAGAAGCAGCCAUCAUUUAAAGAAAGCGUAAUAGCUCACUGGUCGAGUCGGCCUGCGCGGAAGAUGUAACGGGGCUAAACCAUGCACCGAAGCUGCGGCAGCGANNGUUGGGUAGGGGAGCGUUCUGUAAGCCUGCGAAGGUGGCCUGUGAGGGUUGCUGGAGGUAUCAGAAGUGCGAAUGCUGACAUAAGUAACGAUAAAGCGGGUGAAAAGCCCGCUCGCCGGAAGACCAAGGGUUCCUGUCCAACGUUAAUCGGGGCAGGGUGAGUCGACCCCUAAGGCGAGGCCGAAAGGCGUAGUCGAUGGGAAACGGGUUAAUAUUCCCGUACUUGGUGUUACUGCGAAGGGGGGACGGAGAAGGCUAUGUUGGCCGGGCGACGGUUGUCCCGGUUUAAGCGUGUAGGUGUGUGUUCCAGGUAAAUCCGGUUCACUUUAACACUGAGGCGUGAUGACGAGGCACUACGGUGCUGAAGCAACAAAUGCCCUGCUUCCAGGAAAAGCCUCUAAGCAUCAGGUAACAUCAAAUCGUACCCCAAACCGACACAGGUGGUCAGGUAGAGAAUACCAAGGCGCUUGAGAGAACUCGGGUGAAGGAACUAGGCAAAAUGGUGCCGUAACUUCGGGAGAAGGCACGCUGACACGUAGGUGAAGUGAUUUACUCAUGGAGCUGAAGUCAGUCGAAGAUACCAGCUGGCUGCAACUGUUUAUUAAAAACACAGCACUGUGCAAACACGAAAGUGGACGUAUACGGUGUGACGCCUGCCCGGUGCCGGAAGGUUAAUUGAUGGGGUCAGCGCAAGCGAAGCUCCUGAUCGAAGCCCCGGUAAACGGCGGCCGUAACUAUAACGGUCCUAAGGUAGCGAAAUUCCUUGUCGGGUAAGUUCCGACCUGCACGAAUGGCGUAAUGAUGGCCAGGCUGUCUCCACCCGAGACUCAGUGAAAUUGAACUCGCUGUGAAGAUGCAGUGUACCCGCGGCAAGACGGAAAGACCCCGUGAACCUUUACUAUAGCUUGACACUGAACAUUGAGCCUUGAUGUGUAGGAUAGGUGGGAGGCUUUGAAGCGUGGACGCCAGUCUGCGUGGAGCCGACCUUGAAAUACCACCCUUUAAUGUUUGAUGUUCUAACGUGGACCCGUAAUCCGGGUUGCGGACAGUGUCUGGUGGGUAGUUUGACUGGGGCGGUCUCCUCCUAAAGAGUAACGGAGGAGCACGAAGGUUGGCUAAUCCUGGUCGGACAUCAGGAGGUUAGUGCAAUGGCAUAAGCCAGCUUGACUGCGAGCGUGACGGCGCGAGCAGGUGCGAAAGCAGGUCAUAGUGAUCCGGUGGUUCUGAAUGGAAGGGCCAUCGCUCAACGGAUAAAAGGUACUCCGGGGAUAACAGGCUGAUACCGCCCAAGAGUUCAUAUCGACGGCGGUGUUUGGCACCUCGAUGUCGGCUCAUCACAUCCUGGGGCUGAAGUAGGUCCCAAGGGUAUGGCUGUUCGCCAUUUAAAGUGGUACGCGAGCUGGGUUUAGAACGUCGUGAGACAGUUCGGUCCCUAUCUGCCGUGGGCGCUGGAGAACUGAGGGGGGCUGCUCCUAGUACGAGAGGACCGGAGUGGACGCAUCACUGGUGUUCGGGUUGUCAUGCCAAUGGCACUGCCCGGUAGCUAAAUGCGGAAGAGAUAAGUGCUGAAAGCAUCUAAGCACGAAACUUGCCCCGAGAUGAGUUCUCCCUGAGACUUAGAGUCUCCUGAAGGAACGUUGAAGACGACGACGUUGAUAGGCCGGG